AAUAUUGGACAAUGGGGGCAACCCUGAUCCAGCCAUGCCGCGUGUGUGAAGAAGGUCUUCGGAUUGUAAAGCACUUUAAGUUGGGAGGAAGGGCUUUAGGUUAAUACCCUGAAGUUUUGACGUACCAACCAGAUUAGCACCCGCAAACUCCAGUCCUAGAGGCGCGGUAAUACAGAGGGUGGAACCGUUAAUCGGAAUUACUGGGCGUAAAGCGCGCGUAGGUGGUUCAGUAAGAUGGGUGUGAAAUCCCCGGGCUUAACCUGGGAACUGCUUUCAUAACUGCUGAGCUAGAGUACGGUAGAGGGUAGUGGAAUUUCCUGUGUAGCGGUGAAAUGCGUAGAUAUAGGAAGGAACACCAGUGGCGAAGGCGACUACCUGGACUGAUACUGACACUGAGGUGCGAAAGCGUGGGGAGCAAAC
rnacentral:rRNA from 1 species